GCCCCCGUGGAUCUUGGUGAUCACCCCUCAUACCUGCUGUAUCAGUAAGUUACAUGUCUGAUGCAAGGAGAUGUGCAGGUUCGAUUCCUGCCGGGGGCA